rnacentral:rRNA from 1 species
GUCUACGCUGUAAACGAUGAUUACUUGAUGUUGGCGAUAAAAUGUCAGUGUCUAAGCGAAAGUGUUAAGUAAUCCACCUGGGGAGUACGAUCGCAAGGUUGAAACUCAAAGGAAUUGACGGGGGCCCGCACAAGCGGUGGAGCAUGUGGUUUAAUUCGAUGAUACGCGAGGAACCUUACCAGGGCUUAAAUGCAGAACGACAGGCUGGGAAACCAGCCCUUCUUCGGACGGACUGCAAGGUGC